rnacentral:rRNA from 1 species
AGCGGCCGCGGUAAUUCCAGCUCCAAUAGCGUAUAUUAAAGUUGUUGCAGUUAAAAAGCUCGUAGUUGAAUUUCGGGAUCAAUAUGUCGGUCGUGCCUCCGGUACGUACUGGCGUUAUUGGUUUCUCCCUUCUGACGAACCACGAUGUCAUUAAUUUGGUGUCAUGGGGAAUCAGGACUGUUACUUUGAAAAAAUUAGAGUGUUUAAAGCAGGCUCACGCUUGAAUACAUUAGCAUGGAAUAAUGAAAUAGGACGUUUGAUUCUAUUUUGUUGGUUUCUAGGAUCGACGUAAUGAUUAAUAGGGAUAGUUGGGGGCAUUAGUAUUCAAUUGUCAGAGGUGAAAUUCUUGGAUUUAUUGAAGACUAACUACUGCGAAAGCAUUUGCCAAGGAUGUUUUCAUUAAUCAAGAACGAAAGUUAGGGGAUCGAAGACGAUCAGAUACCGUCGUAGUCUUAACCAUAAACUAUGCCGACUAGGGAUCGGAUGAUGUUAAUUUUUUAAUGUACUCAUUCGGCGCCUU